rnacentral:rRNA from 1 species
UACGUAGGGUGCGAGCGUUGUCCGGAAUUAUUGGGCGUAAAGAGCUCGUAGGCGGUUUGUCGCGUCGGCCGUGAAAUCUCCACGCUUAACGUGGAGCGUGCGGUCGAUACGGGCAGACUUGAGUUCGGCAGGGGAGACUGGAAUUCCUGGUGUAGCGGUGAAAUGCGCAGAUAUCAGGAGGAACACCGGUGGCGAAGGCGGGUCUCUGGGCCGAUACUGACGCUGAGGAGCGAAAGCGUGGGGAGCGAACAGG